UCACCGAAGAGUGACUCCAACAUUGAGCCUAGGAUGGAAAUGCGACCAGCUGGUAAUGCACCGCAGUACCGCAUUCCGUGCCUAACGGAUCCUAUUCCGGAUCACAAAAGAGUCGAAGAGCAGCAACGACGCGACGCCCGGAGCUGCGUAACGGGCUUUUUAUCUCCGGGAUGACUCGAGGAGCAGCUGAAUAACCGUUAGAGUCGGUCUAAUUGCCCCGGACGUAAGCCGACUAUCGACUGCAGGCCGUCUUGAGCAGGGAACGAAGUCGAAGCUGAAUAGAAAAAGUAGAGCAGUGGUGGAAUGACGUGACUUGGGAGCGUCAAUAAUCGAAGUGGAGCAGCUGCAGGUGCCGGCAUAGCCACUCGAGUGCAUAUGCAACGUGUCGAGGGUUCGGCGCUGCGAUGGAAAUCCCAGAGAAGUCAGGAAUAACCAUCGGAACACCUUGGCGGAAUUAAGUCCAGGUCCUGCGCCUGGUUUUCCGGGUGGUAUAAGAACCAGGAACUGGCGUUUCGUUCGAUCCGCACCUGCGAUCCGAGGAAAAGAAGACCAUUGCUGGGCAAGUUCGACAACCGGCUACAUCGUCAAUUUCUCUUUUGGCAAGAAUGGAGUGUACAUAAUUUAUUGCAAUUUUCUGAUGAAAACUAUGGCCUCCGGUGUGAUGGUGACCUCCGAUGGGUGGCAGCUGAUACCUUCUAUAUUUUCCAAGAAGAUACUUCGAAAAAUGACAAUAUUCAUUUG